AAGGAAGAGGCGUUUGCCUUUUCUGUUGACUGCUGAAGCCGGUGAAAGAUUGUGCAGCAGCAGGAACUCUUUGUGUUGUAGCCGUGCUGGGAUAAAGCAGUGGGAGACAGGCUGGAAUGGUGUAAGAGGGAAGAAUAUACAGUAUAUUUCAAGGUCUAAUCAACUGCUAAGGGCGUAACCAUGGACGAUGACUUUGAGCGGCGCAGAGAGCUCAGGAGGCAGAAGAGGGAGGAGAUGCGCCUGGAGGCUGAACGGAUGGCCUUCCAGGGUAGUAAUGAGGAUGAGGAGGAGGCUGCAAGGGAGCGAAGACGCAGGGCACGUCAGGAGAGGAUGAGAGGGAUGGGAGGCGAGGAGCCCAGUGACAGCGUGGUGAUGACCAACAGCCACAGUGUAACCGAGACUGUGUCGGUGUCCUCCUCCUCUGUGACCUCCUCGGGUGGAGGAGACGAUGAUGAGCAGGCCCUGCUGGAGCGCAUGGCCAAACGAGAGGAGCGCAGGCAGAAAAGGAUGAUGGAAGCUCUGGAGCGAGAGAAGGAUCAGAACCCCGGCAAUGCCAGUAACCACGGCAGCGGGGAGAAUAGUGUGGAUGAGAGGUCCGUCGGCCGCAGGGGCCGUUACCAAGACAACGAAGAAGAGGUGGAAGAGGGGAAGGCUGCUCCGGAGGAGGAAGAGGCUGAGCAAGGAGAGGAAGAAGAGGAGGAAGAGGUGGUGGAGGAGGAGAAACCGAGACGAUCCUAUAUGAGAGAACAGGAAUCCAUUGACGAGAAAACUAGAAACGAGGUGAAUGAAAAGCAGAAUGGACGUCUGCACGAGGAGACUCCUCCAAAACACAAAAAAACAGAAAGGACCCUGAGCGUGCGCUCUCUGGAGGCGGGGGCGGAGGAGGAGCAGGACGACGCGGCGAACCUGGAGGCGGAGCGUAAGCUGGAGGAGCUGAAACGGCGCCGUGGCGAUGCGGAGAGCGAGGAGUUCGAGAGGAUGAGACGGAAGCAGCAGGAGGCUGAGCAGGAGCUGGAGGAGCUGAAGAAGAAGAGGGAGGAGAGGAGGAAGAUCAUAGAAGAGGAGGAGAGACAGAAGAAACAGGAGGAGGCCGAGAAGAAGGACAGAGAGGAGGAGGAGAAGAGGAGGAUGAAGGAGGAGAUAGAGAGGAGGAGGGCGGAGGCGGCCGAGAAGAGACAGCAGAUGGGGGUGGAGACUGUCGACGGAGAGGCCAAACCCUUCAAAUGCUUCAGCCCCAGAGGAUCCUCCCUCAAGAUUGGUGAAAGGGCAGAGUUUCUGAACAAGUCGGCACAGAAAAGCACGGUGAAGACGUCUCACUCUCCUGUCGUCUCUAAGAUUGACAACAGACUGGAGCAGUACACCUCUGUUGCGCAGAACAAGGAUAUGCGGUCCCCGCGCUCCGGUGCCGUGGACCUGCCAAUGGUGACAGAUGGGAUACGUAACAUCAAGACCAUGUGGGAGAAAGGCAACGUGUUCAACUCACCCGGGGGCGGCGGGGGCACGCACAAGGAAGCAGCUGGGAUGAAGAUAGGUGUGGCGGGCCGCAUCAACGACUGGCUGAAUAAAACCCCCGAGAGCAAAACGCCGGGAGGAAGGCCCGCGGAUCUGAAGCCAGGAGAUGUGACUAACAAGAGAAGUCUGUGGGAAAACAAGGGAUCCUCCCCAGCCAAGAGCUCUGAAGAAGAGCUCUCUUAGCUAGUUGACUUCACCGUUAACUAGUCUGGAAACCCUGGAGAGGUGACUGGUAGAGGGGAGAAUAAAUCUGUUGCCAAUGCAGGUAUGGGACACGAAUGAUACGAAGAGUUUCUUCUGAAGGCUGGUGGGGACCAAGACAAUCCAAGACUCUUCCUUUUUCUAUGUGUAUUAUACCAAAACAAUAUGACCACCACCCUGAGGGAACCCAAGGAAUGGAGAGAAACAGGAGAUUUUAUUUAAUUAGCACUGUACUGAAACGAAUAGCCACCAUCUCGUAUCUACAGUGUAGUGCCUUUGCACAACGAAUUUGCUAUGCUUUACUUUCUCAACAAACAAAUUAAUAUGCUGUGAAAUUUGGAUGUUUUUAUGAUAUGGUCAUUUGUUUUAUAUGUAAUAAGCAACAACUUGCAGAAGAAAAAAAUAAUAAUUGAGAUUAGAUGUAUUUCCCAUACGCUCUUCAGUACAUGUGUACUUUUGAUAUAGUAAAGACAUGGUUUUUAUGAGGUGUCCAGUUCCACAAUCAUCUCCGUGUUCCAAAGAGAGAUAUCUACCAUCGAUGCUCUGUCCAUGUCGUCCAUCUCACUUCUUUUUUUAAAUUUAUAUUUAAAGCAAAGCUUCACACAUAGCUAUUUUAUUCAUGUUCACCAGUUCAGGAGAGAGAUUAUAAGCACUCCGUAGAUUUGGCUUAUUUCACUUUAUUUUGUCUUACCAAUAGUGCAACAACGGUCUGAGUUAAUAUGUGUUAGCACAGAAGUACACGUCGUUAUGAAUAUUAUACUGUAUCUUCUAUUACAGCUUUAUACUCGAGAUUUGUUUCGCUUUUGUACUCUAAAAUUAAAUGACUACCAACCGACAAGAGGCAAUGAAAGGCAGUGCAAGCAACUAAAGGAAAGUUGUAUAUUAAGACGGCUAUUAUAACAUUUAUUAUCCUCGUUUCAAUUUAUUUAUGUUUUUUUGUUGUUGUUUUUUUACGUGUUUUGUCAUUGGCUGUUUUUGUGACUUUUGUACCUGCUGUUUUGAAUUUCUAAAUUCACUUUGUUAAACUUUCAAACAACCCAUAAUGCAGCAGGUGUACUUAGAGUUACGUCGUCAUUUUAGGGACUCUCUGACCCACAACAUUCCACGCCACUAAGCACACCGCCGGGCUUAUUCACAUGCAUGCUCCAAUGGCUUCUAUCCAGGACGUUAAGGACCUCCGCUUUGUCAGUGAGGUUGUCUGAAUAUAGCAGGCCAGAUACACAUUUAUACACCGUGCCUGUACCUUGAGACGGCAUCGGUUUUAAGCCGUAUGCCGCCUUGCCAUUUAAGCCCAAAUCCCAUGUGCUAAUAACUAUAGCACUCUGGGAAGAAGGGAAAGUGCACAUUUAGAUGUGGACAAUGAUCGAGGACUGAAUCAGUCAACAGAAGAGUCAUUUUGACUCCAGACGACAAUUGCGCUUGACGCUUGUUUUGAGUUUUCUUAAAGUUGCAUUUGCGGUAUGUAAGAUCGUGUUUCCAGCACAAAUCCUUUACAUCCAAAAUGGUCUCAAGGCCUUGUUGUUGCAGGCACCGAAUAAACUGUACCUUCGACUUUGCCAACUCAGUUUGACUUCAGCUGUUUCUUUCUUCUUCUUUUACCGUUUCUUUAUUGAGGUUUAUGCGUUUCACGUUUCGCUCAUUCAUUUUGCAUGACAUGCUUUGUUGAUCUGGGUAUUAAAUAAAGGUUAUCAGGGGCAUUGAAAGAUUGUCAAGGUUUUAUACAGAACAAUCACAUUCCAUGACUCCUUAGAACUACAAGCAAUGGAGUCUGACCAAAAUAUAUGACAUUAUUUUACAUUGCUGUUAUUUCAUAUUUUGGUAAUUUUGCUUUUUAUUUCAAACACCCUCAUUUAUUGUGUAGAGUUAACUAUGCAAGGCACACUAUCUGCAGUUUCAGAUCAAACGUUGAUGGUAGUGGGUAGUUUCCUACAGAAUACAUGUUCUGAAAUAUUUGUACCGCUGACUCAACAACUGCAAUAAAGAGAUAUAAAUUGUU